rnacentral:rRNA from 1 species
GAUGAACGCUGGCGGUAUGCUUAACACAUGCAAGUCGAACGGACUCUUCGGAGUUAGUGGCGGACGGGUGAGUAACGCGUGAGAAUCUGGCUUUGGGUUCGGGACAACCACUGGAAACGGUGGCUAGUACCGGAUGUGCUGAGAGGUAAAAGAGAAAUUGCCUGAAGAUGAGCUCGCGUCUGAUUAGCUAGUUGGUGAGGUAAAGGCUCACCAAGGCAGCGAUCAGUAGCUGGUCUGAGAGGAUGACCAGCCACACUGGGACUGAGACACGGCCCAGACUCCUACGGGAGGCAGCAGUGGGGAAUUUUCCGCAAUGGGCGAAAGCCUGACGGAGCAAUACCGCGUGAGGGAAGAAGGCUCUUGGGUUGUAAACCUCUUUUCUUAGGGAAGAACAAAAUGACGGUACCUAAGGAAUCAGCAUCGGCUAACUCCGUG